CAGUAGCCACGGGAAUACGGAGGGGGCUAGCGUUGUUCGGAAUUACUGGGCGUAAAGCGCACGUAGGCGGCUUGGUAAGUUAGAGGUGAAAGCCUGGAGCUCAACUCCAGAAUUGCCUUUAAGACUGCCGAGCUAGCAGGUGAGAGAGGUAAGUGGAAUUCCGAGUGUAGAGGUGAAAUUCGUAGAUAUUCGGAAGAACACCAGUGGCGAAGGCGGCUUACUGGCUCAUACUGGACGCUGAGGUGCGAAAGCGUGGGGAGCAAACAGGAUUAGAUACCCCUGUAGUCCCUGUCUCUUAUAA
rnacentral:rRNA from 1 species